AUACAAUGACUCUCGGCAACGGAUAUCUCGGCUCUUGCAUCGAUGAAGAACGUAGCGAAAUGCGAUACUUGGUGUGAAUUGCAGAAUCCCGUGAACCAUCGAGUCUUUGAACGCAAGUUGCGCCCGAAGCCAUUAGGUUGAGGGCACGCCUGCCUGGGUG
rnacentral:rRNA from 1 species